CAGUAGCCGCGGUAAUACGAAGGGUGCAAGCGUUAAUCGGAAUUACUGGGCGUAAAGCGUGCGUAGGCGGUUUGUUAAGUCUGUUGUGAAAUCCCCGGGCUCAACCUGGGAAUGGCAAUGGAUACUGGCAAGCUAGAGUGUGUCAGAGGAUGGUGGAAUUCCCGGUGUAGCGGUGAAAUGCGUAGAGAUCGGGAGGAACAUCAGUGGCGAAGGCGGCCAUCUGGGACAACACUGACGCUGAGGCACGAAAGCGUGGGGAGCAAACAGGAUUAGAUACCCCGGUAGUCCCUGUCUCUUAUAA
rnacentral:rRNA from 1 species